UGGAGAUGAUGAAAUAGAGAUUUGGGGUGUUGUGAGAAUGUUUGAAUAAUCUUAUAUAAACUUGUGUAUGUUUUUACAGUUUUGUGUGUGUGUUCUGGUUAUUACAAGGAGGCUCUGAAUUGACUUAGUCCUGCUGACUUCGGAGUGCAUCUGAGGAUUGUUGCAAUAUGAAGGGCUUUGCUGUAACAUUUCCAAUGAUUAGAGCCCUAAAUUAUGUUUCCUAAAUAACCUGCACACCCUUAUAUCUCUGACAGAUAUGCUUUAAACCCAUAUCUGUGAUCUGAUCCAA